rnacentral:ncRNA from 19 species
AAUAAUAUCUAACCUUAUCCGAUUUUAGGCAUAAAAAAACCUGCCAGAAAGCAGGUUUUUUUAUUGU